GAUGAACGCUGGCGGCGUGCCUAAUACAUGCAAGUCGAGCGAACGGACGAGAAGCUUGCUUUUCUGAUGUUAGCGGCGGACGGGUGAGUAACACGUGGGUAACCUACCUAUAAGACUGGGAUAACUUCGGGAAACCGGAGCUAAUACCGGAUAAUAUUUUGAACCGCAUGGUUCAAAAGUGAAAGACGGUCUUGCUGUCACUUAUAGAUGGAUCCGCGCUGCAUUAGCUAGUUGGUAAGGUAACGGCUUACCAAGGCAACGAUGCAUAGCCGACCUGAGAGGGUGAUCGGCCACACUGGAACUGAGACACGGUCCAGACUCCUACGGGAGGCAGCAGUAGGGAAUCUUCCGCAAUGGGCGAAAGCCUGACGGAGCAACGCCGCGUGAGUGAUGAAGGUCUUCGGAUCGUAAAACUCUGUUAUUAGGGAAGAACAUAUGUGUAAGUAACUAUGCACAUCUUGACGGUACCUAAUCAGAAAGCCACGGCUAACUACGUG
rnacentral:rRNA from 1 species